UUUGUUUUUUUAGGUGAGUGGUUUCUUCAGAAUACUGUUUAACUCAAGACAUAGAAUCAAAUACAUUGGUUCAAACCCUGUCCUAGCUCAUCUGUAAAGGACAGUAGCAGAAGCAAACCUCAUUGUUAUUUGUUUCCAUGAAGAUGGUGCAAGAUAAAUUUGAAUCUGCUAGAAAACUUUUCUGUCAGCUAAGUAAUUAAAUAAACAAAUCAGGCAAACUAUGACUUCAAA